AGUGAACGCUGGCGGUAGGCCUAACACAUGCAAGUCGAACGGCAGCACAGUAAGAGCUUGCUCUUACGGGUGGCGAGUGGCGGACGGGUGAGGAAUACAUCGGAAUCUACUUUUUCGUGGGGGAUAACGUAGGGAAACUUACGCUAAUACCGCAUACGACCUACGGGUGAAAGCAGGGGAUCUUCGGACCUUGCGCGAUUGAAUGAGCCGAUGUCGGAUUAGCUAGUUGGCGGGGUAAAGGCCCACCAAGGCGACGAUCCGUAGCUGGUCUGAGAGGAUGAUCAGCCACACUGGAACUGAGACACGGUCCAGACUCCUACAGGAGGCAGCAGUGGGAAAUAUUGAACAAUGGGCGCAAGCCUGAUCCAGCCAUACCGCGUGGGUGAAGAAGGCCUUCGGGUUGUAAAGCCCUUUUGUUGGGAAAGAAAAGCAGCAGGUUAAUACCCCGCUGUUCUGACGGUACCCAAAGAAUAAGCACCGGCUAACUUCGUG
rnacentral:rRNA from 1 species